AAUGGGGGAAACCCUGACACAGCAACGCGCGUGGGUGAAGAAGGCCUUCGGGUCGUAAAGCCCUUUCGGACGGGACGAACGCUCCGCGGUGACAACCCGCGGAGCCUGACGGUACCGUAAGAAGAAGCACCGGCUAACUCCGUGCCAGCAGCCGCGGUAAUACGGAGGGUGCAAGCGUUGUUCGGAAUUACUGGGCGUAAAGCGCGUGUAGGCGGCCUUGCAAGCCAGACGUGAAAGCCCUCGGCUUAACCGGGGAAGUGCGUCUGGAACUGCUCGGCUCGAGUACGGGAGAGGGAGGCGGAAAUUCCCAGUGUAGAGGUGAAAUUCGUAGAUAUUGGGAGGAACACCGGUGGCGAAAGCGGCCUCCUGGACCGAUACUGACGCUGAGACGCGAAAGCGUGGGGAGCAAACAGGAUUAGAUACCCUGGUAGUCCACGCGGUAAACGAUGGGCACUAGGUGUGGGGGGUAUCCACUCCCCCCGUGCCGCAGCUAACGCAUUAAGUGCCCCGCCUGGGGAGUACGGCCGCAAGGUUA
rnacentral:rRNA from 1 species